UAGGGAAUCUUCCACAAUGGGCGCAAGCCUGAUGGAGCAACACCGCGUGAGUGAAGAAGGGUUUCGGCUCGUAAAGCCCUGUUGUUAAAGAAGAACACGUAUGAGAGUAACUGUUCAUACGUUGACGGUAUUUAACCAGAAAGUCACGGCUAACUACGUGCCAG
rnacentral:rRNA from 1 species